rnacentral:sRNA from 1 species
GCUGGGCGUGGUGGUGCACACCUGUAAUCCCAGCAGCUCAGGAGGCUGACACAGGAGGAUCAUGAGUUCAAAGCCAGCCUCAGCAAUUUAGCGAGGCCCUAAGCAACUCAAUGAGACCUUGUCUCUA